AGCUUUGCGCAGUGGCGAUAUCGUAACCAAUGAGGUACAUCCGAGGUGCGAUUAUUGCUAGUUGAAAACUAACCCUAUGUACCUUCUUGUAGGCUAUGAUUAGUAGAUAAAACUAUAAAUUAUUCUAUACAUUGAAACAUG